rnacentral:rRNA from 1 species
CCUUUUGUAUAAUGGGUCAGCGACUUAUAUUCUGUAGCAAGGUUAACCGAAUAGGGGAGCCGAAGGGAAACCGAGUCUUAACUGGGCGUUAAGUUGCAGGGUAUAGACCCGAAACCCGGUGAUCUAGCCAUGGGCAGGUUGAAGGUUGGGUAACACUAACUGGAGGACCGAACCGACUAAUGUUGAAAAAUUAGCGGAUGACUUGUGGCUGGGGGUGAAAGGCCAAUCAAACCGGGAGAUAGCUGGUUCUCCCCGAAAGCUAUUUAGGUAGCGCCUCGUGAAUUCAUCUCCGGGGGUAGAGCACUGUUUCGGCAAGGGGGUCAUCCCGACUUACCAACCCGAUGCAAACUGCGAAUACCGGAGAAUGUUAUCACGGGAGACACACGGCGGGUGCUAACGUCCGUCGUGAAGAGGGAAACAACCCAGACCGCCAGCUAAGGUCCCAAAGUCAUGGUUAAGUGGGAAACGAUGUGGGAAGGCCCAGACAGCCAGGAUGUUGGCUUAGAAGCAGCCAUCAUUUAAAGAAAGCGUAAUAGCUCACUGGUCGAGUCGGCCUGCGCGGAAGAUGUAACGGGGCUAAACCAUGCACCGAAGCUGCGGCAGCGACGCUGAUGCGUUGUUGGGUAGGGGAGCGUUCUGUAAGCCUGCGAAGGUGUGCUGUGAGGCAUGCUGGAGGUAUCAGAAGUGCGAAUGCUGACAUAAGUAACGAUAAAGCGGGUGAAAAGCCCGCUCGCCGGAAGACCAAGGGUUCCUGUCCAACGUUAAUCGGGGCAGGGUGAGUCGACCCCUAAGGCGAGGCCGAAAGGCGUAGUCGAUGGGAAACAGGUUAAUAUUCCUGUACUUGGUGUUACUGCGAAGGGGGGACGGAGAAGGCUAUGUUGGCCGGGCGACGGUUGUCCCGGUUUAAGCGUGUAGGCUGGUUUUCCAGGCAAAUCCGGAAAAUCAAGGCUGAGGCGUGAUGACGAGGCACUACGGUGCUGAAGCAACAAAUGCCCUGCUUCCAGGAAAAGCCUCUAAGCAUCAGGUAACAUCAAAUCGUACCCCAAACCGACACAGGUGGUCAGGUAGAGAAUACCAAGGCGCUUGAGAGAACUCGGGUGAAGGAACUAGGCAAAAUGGUGCCGUAACUUCGGGAGAA